AGUGAACGCUGGCGGUAGGCCUAACACAUGCCAGUCGAACGGCAGCACAGUAAGAGCUUGCUCUUACGGGUGGCGAGUGGCGGACGGGUGAGGAAUACAUCGGAAUCUACUUUUUCUUGGGUGAUAACGUAGGGAAACUUACGCUAAUACCGCAUACGACCUACGGGUGAAAGCAGGGGAUCUUCGGACCUUGCGCGAUUGAAUGAGCCGAUGUCGGAUUAGCUAGUUGGCGGGGUAAAGGCCCACCAAGGCGACGAUCCGUAGCUGGUCUGAGAGGAUGAUCAGCCACACUGGAACUGAGACACGGUCCAGACUCCUACGGGAGGCAGCAGUGGGGAAUAUUGGACAAUGGGCGCAAGCCUGAUCCAGCCAUACCGCGUGGGUGAAGAAGGCCUUCGGGUUGUAAAGCCCUUUUGUUGGGAAAGAAAAGCAGCAGGUUAAUACCCCGCUGUUCUGACGGUACCCAAAGAAUAAGCACCGGCUAACUUCGUG
rnacentral:rRNA from 1 species